rnacentral:tmRNA from 1 species
GGGGACGCGCGGUUUCGACAGGGAAUUUAUGAGGCAGGGUUGCAGGUCGAGGACCAUAAAACUCGUAAAAAAAUGGAAAAAAUUAACUGACAAUAAACAGUUAGCUUUAGCAGCUUAAUUACUGCUACAUUGUAUUAUUUUUCCCCCGAGAGAAUAAUAUGAUGACGAAAUUCGGGGUAUAACUCUGAAAAACCGAUAAUUCAGAGAAGAAAUUUAAUCGGAAAAGCUUGAAAAACUCUUUCUGAUUGAAGUCUUCAAGUUUAAUAUCAAUCAGAUAAACCUGUAGAUACUCUAGACCGAGUGUUUUCUGGACGGGGAGUUCGACUCUCCCCCGUCUCCACCA